AUGAACGCUGGCGGCGUGCCUAAUACAUGCAAGUCGAGCGAACAGACGAGGAGCUUGCUCCUCUGACGUUAGCGGCGGACGGGUGAGUAACACGUGGAUAACCUACCUAUAAGACUGGGAUAACUUCGGGAAACCGGAGCUAAUACCGGAUAACAUGUUGAACCGCAUGGUUCAACAGUGAAAGACGGUCUUGCUGUCACUUAUAGAUGGAUCCGCGCCGCAUUAGCUAGUUGGUAAGGUAACGGCUUACCAAGGCAACGAUGCGUAGCCGACCUGAGAGGGUGAUCGGCCACACUGGAACCGAGACACGGUCCAGACUCCUACGGGAGGCAGCAGUAGGGAAACUUCCGCCAUGGGCCAAAGCCUGACGGAGCAACGGCGCGUGAGUGAAGAAGGUCUUCGGAUCGUAAAACUCUGUUAUUAGGGAAGAACAAAUGUGUAAGUAACUAUGCACGUCUUGACGGUACCUAAUCAGAAAGGCACGGCUAACUACGGG
rnacentral:rRNA from 1 species